CUGAACUCAGUAUGCAGGAAACAAAAGAUGAAUGGUCUUUCAUAAACAUGUUUUUAUAACAUAAUCUGCACAUAUAAACAACUGGCAGUACAUCCUUUUGGGAUUCUUGUGAGCCAGGAUUUUCAAAGCUACAGAGAAUGGAUUGAGUUUCGGAAUUAUUUCCCAAUUUUGUGCUGUUUGGAGGAAACAUCUGUUUACUGUAUGUAAAUGAACAAGACAUUCUGUUCUUUUAGGGACGCAACAAAGAGCCCUUAAAGUGAGCCAAUUUGGCAAAUACGGAAACAUAGCCUCUUGAAAAGGACAACAAAUGAAGUCUAGCAAGAGAUUUUGUAAAAGAUAGCCGCUAUUUUCUUUCUUGAAAAUUUCUAUAUUUGGAUCAAACAAGGAAUGGAUAUUUCCUCUUUGAUGAAAAACCUGUCGAGAGCCUUUUGGCCUUUUGCUCUUCUUGCUGCCCUUUUUUUUUUUUUUUUUUUUUCUUCCUCUUCUAGUCAUCAGACAGACUGAAGUUAGAAAACAGAUUUGCAGCGUGGAAGAAGUGUGUGGCAGACGGCGAGGCAGCUCGGCAGUAAAUCUUAGCUCAGUUAAUAUUUCCACAUGUCUGGUGGAUAACCUUGGAAGGCCAAGAGUCCAGACAGUUUGAAGCAGUGUUCUACAGAGAAAGAGAACCAGAAGGAACUAUAUAUAUAAGAAGAAAAUUAUUUAUUAUGGGAAUUGGAUCACCUGAUGAUGGAGUCUGAGAGUUGCUGAUGUGCCAUCUGCAAGCUGGAGAACCAGGAAAACUGGCAGUAUAAUUUAGUUCAAGCAUCAACUGAUGGUGUAACUCCCAGUCUGGAAUGAAAAUCUGAGAACCAAGGAAGUACUGGAGCAGCCAAUGAAAUUUGGAGGAUCCACAUAAGGGCAAAAAAUCCCACACAGCCAGAAAUUGUGUAAGAUUCAGAGCAAACAAAACUUGGAUCUACCCCUAGGAGUCAGGGUUUGGAGAACUUCUAGAUUGCUGAACAUCUCCAUGUGCCAGGAGGGUGGUGGACUCCAGCUCCAUAGGAACAGACACUCCUGUGCUUUGGACCCUUCUGGACCUCACCCUAUAUAACAUGCCCUCUGUUAUAUUCUAUGAACUGUUCUAGUAAACGUACUAUCCAUUCAAUCAACCCAAAGAGGCUAUGCCCAAACAAUGGAAUACUAAUUAGCACUAAAAUGACCUAUUGAGCCAUGAAAACAUUAUGUAUGAAACUGAAAUGCAUAUUACUGAGUAAAGAAGCCAAUCUGAAAGACUACUUACUGUGUGUUUCAGCUAUAUGACAUUCUAGAAAAGACAAAACCAUGGAAGCAGUAAAAAUAACAGGGAUUGCCAGGGGGUGGUGGAGAGGGGAUAGAUAAGUGGGAUACAGAGGAUUUUAAGGGUAGUAAAAAUAUUCUGCAUGAUACCAUAAUGGUGGAUACAUGUCAUCAUAUAUUUUGUCCAAACCCAUAGACUGUACAACACCAAGAGUGAACCCUACUGUAAACAAUGGACUUUGAGUGAUCAUCAUGUGUCAUUGUAGGCUCAUCAGUUGUAACAUAUCUACCACUCUGGUGGGGGAUAUUGAAAAUGGUCAAGACUCUUUAGGUAUGAGGGCAAGGGGUAAAUGAGAAAUCUGUAUUUUUAAAAAAACUAUUUUAUUUAUUUAUUCAUGAGAGACACAGAGAGAGGGAGGCAGAGACAUAGGCAGAGGGAGAAGCAGGCUUCCC